rnacentral:rRNA from 1 species
GACGAACGCUGGCGGCGUGCUUAACACAUGCAAGUCGAGCGGUAAGGCCCUUUCGGGGGGUACACGAGCGGCGAACGGGUGAGUAACACGUGGGUGACCUGCCCUCAGCUCUGGGAUAAGCCUGGGAAACCGGGUCUAAUACCGGAUAUGACUCCAUGACGCAUGUUGUGGGGGUGGAAAGCCUUGUGCGGCUGAGGAUGGGCCCGCGGCCUAUCAGCUUGUUGGGUGGGGUGAUGGCCUACCAAGGCGACGACGGGUAGCCGGCCUGAGAGGGCGACCGGCCACACUGGGACUGAGACACGGCCCAGACUCCUACGGGAGGCAGCAGGUGGGGAAUCUUGCGCAAUGGGCGAAAGCCUGACGCAGCGACGCCGCGUGAGGGAUGACGGCCU